AAAUAAAGUAUUCAUUAAGAUUAAUUAUGGAAUUUUUGAAACAAUUGGAGUUGCACACCGAAAUCCUUGCCAUUAUAUGAAUAAAGAAAGUUAACAGAAGAGAGAAAAGGCCCAAAUUAUCAGGACCCGGCCCAUUCCGCAUCCAUGUUCUAAUUUUAGGGUUUCUCCUUGCUUAUAAAUACGCAAAGCAAGGGCUUAACUCACAGGGUCUCAGUAUGUUGCCUCUUCAAUCUGUUAAGGUUUCAGUCAAACAGGUUCCUUUCGAUUAGGUUUCUUCGUUCUCUCAAAUUUUAGGAUUUAUGUUUCUGUAUGCUAUUUUCUUUCCUUCUUUUAAAAUCAUGUGAUGAGGAAAAAAACUGCAACAAUAUGAUUGGAUUCGUUCCAUGAUUCCUUGUAUUUAAGUCUCUGAUGAUUGAUUUUCGACUGCCACCAUUGUUUGAAAUAGGUUCUUUUGUAUUUUUGUUUUCUAAUUUUGAAUUUGCAUCUCCCAUUCUUUUCAUCUUUAUUCGACAAGAUCAGUAAGGAGAUGUGAUGAUUUUUACAUUGGUCCGUGUUUCUGAAUUACCGUGACCGACAAAUCUUACCAAUUUCUGAUCUCCAAUUACAGUAUACGCUAUUCCGAUUUAUUACGUGAGCGGAAAUUUAAUUGUGUAUGAGAGCCA